rnacentral:rRNA from 1 species
GUACAUGCCUAGAUCAUAGCGUUAAUGCACGGGAUGCCAUUAGAUCUCCACAAUUAAGUGUGCUAGGGCUAGUGUAGUAUUGGGAUGGGUGAUCGUCCUAGAAAUCCUUACAGUUUUUUACA